rnacentral:rRNA from 1 species
GACGAACGCUGGCGGCGUGCCUAAUACAUGCAAGUAGAACGCACAGUUUAUACCGUAGCUUGCUACACCAUAGACUGUGAGUUGCGAACGGGUGAGUAACGCGUAGGUAACCUGCCUGGUAGCGGGGGAUAACUAUUGGAAACGAUAGCUAAUACCGCAUAAUAUUGAUUAUUGCAUGAUAAUUGAUUGAAAGAUGCUAUUGCAUCACUACCAGAUGGACCUGCGUUGUAUCAGCUAGUAGGUGAGGUAACGGCUCACCUAGGCGACGAUACAUAGCCGACCUGAGAGGGUGAUCGGCCACACUGGGACUGAGACACGGCCCAGACUCCUACGGGAGGCAGCAGUAGGGAAUCUUCGGCAAUGGACGAAAGUCUGACCGAGCAACGCCGCGUGAGUGAAGAAGGUUUUCGGAUCGUAAAGCUCUGUUGUAAGAGAAGAACGGGUGUGAGAGUGGAAAGUUCACACUGUGACGGUAUCUUACCAGAAAGGGACGGCUAACUACGUG